AACCCUUAUCCUUUGUUGCCAGCGGUUAGGCCGGGAACUCAAAGGAGACUGCCAGUGAUAAACUGGAGGAAGGUGGGGAUGACGUCAAGUCAUCAUGGCCCUUACGAGUAGGGCUACACACGUGCUACAAUGGCGCAUACAAAGAGAAGCGACCUCGCGAGAGCAAGCGGACCUCAUAAAGUGCGUCGUAGUCCGGAUUGGAGUCUGCAACUCGACUCCAUGAAGUCGGAAUCGCUAGUAAUCGUGGAUCAGAAUGCCACGGUGAAUACGUUCCCGGGCCUUGUACACACCGCCCGUCACACCAUGGGAGUGGGUUGCAAAAGAAGUAGGUAGCUUAACCUUCGGGAGGGCGCUUACCACUUUGUGAUUCAUGACUGGGGUGAAGUCGUAACAAGGUAACCGUAGGGGAACCUGCGGUUGGAUCACCUCCUU
rnacentral:rRNA from 1 species